rnacentral:rRNA from 1 species
UACGGAGGGAGCUAGCGUUGUUCGGAAUUACUGGGCGUAAAGCGCACGUAGGCGGCGAUUCAAGUCAGAGGUGAAAGCCCGGGGCUCAACCCCCGGAACUGCCUUUGAAACUAGAUUGCUAGAAUCCUGGAGAGGUUAGUGGAAUUCCGAGUGUAGAGGUGAAAUUCGUAGAUAUUCGGAAGAACACCAGUGGGAGGCAGACGA